GGACCGGGUCGCUGCAAAGCCUUUAAAUAGCGAGUUUGGAAGCAACGAAAGUUUCUCAAAUUUACCGUUUAACUGGAGCUGCAGGAUUCUGGGCUAAGCCUGUCGGUUUUUCUCGAACCGGGUGGAAGACGUAGUAAAAUGGGGUUUAAACGUAAAGAUGUCGGAGCUACUGGGCGGGCUGCGUUUUGUGGCUUGGACUCUGCGAAGUGAAACGUGGUAUUAAAACUGUGCUUACAACUGUUUUUACAGUGCUAGUUCUCCUUUCUGUAGUUUUACCUGCACGAUAUGCUUUUUUUGUAUUCCAGGUUUCUGCUGUAUCUUGGUGAGUCGCUGGGUUUUAACCGGCGGCAGUUGGGUCCUUCACCGCCUGCAGACCUGAUCGCAGAUCCGUGUAGUGAGUGACCGGAGCUCCGCGGCGGAUUCACAGUUGCAGGUCCGGCUGGGUUUUCCUUCUCCUGAACCGGUUUGCUGGAAGUCGCACCGACCGCUGUGUAGCUUCAACUGGGGGCGAACUUGUGACUUACCGGUAACAGACCGCAGGAAACUGCACCCAGCCGUGUGAGACCAGGUGUGAAGACUGAAACCCCCGCAACCGAGCAAAGCACCUGUACCAGGAGAGUAGCGAGGUAUCAGCCGGACCUCCCCAUCACCGCCAUCCUCCGGCCGGGACGCCGGCCUGCACAGAACCGCCCCGUAUUUAUAACCUGAGUCCUGCUGAGCGCGAAAAGGACGACGAAGGUAGCUAAUCAAGACACCGGGGACGGAGAUGAGACUCUGGAUAUCCGUGCAAUAACACCGCUGCAUAUUGUAAUUGUUUCUUAUGCUGUAAUAAACUGCUGUGAAUGUGUUAA